GGUACUUCUCAGUCUGUGGCACUCAGCCUUGAGGGCACUUUCUGGUGCCAGAAUGAAAGUGCUGUCAUAGCUGAGGUCCAAUGACUGAGGCGAGCACC
rnacentral:pre_miRNA from 1 species